CAGCAGCCACGGUAAAACGUAGGUGGCAAGCGUUGUCCGGAAUUAUUGGGCGUAAAGGGCUCGCAGGCGGUUUCUUAAGUCUGAUGUGAAAGCCCCCGGCUCAACCGGGGAGGGUCAUUGGAAACUGGGAAACUUGAGUGCAGAAGAGGAGAGUGGAAUUCCACGUGUAGCGGUGAAAUGCGUAGAGAUGUGGAGGAACACCAGUGGCGAAGGCGACUCUCUGGUCUGUAACUGACGCUGAGGAGCGAAAGCGUGGGGAGCGAACAGGAUUAGAUACCCCCGUAGUCCCUGUCUCUUAUAA
rnacentral:rRNA from 1 species